AAUACUCGGCAUUGCAGAGACAUAAAUGCGAUGGCGCGACGUGCGCGGAGUGGCCGCGCGAUUAUAAGCUAAAUCAAUCGCGGCGAAAGGACAAU
ncrna:unclassified sequences GP20-a RNA